GAGGAGGAAGAGGCUGGCAUGUAAACAAACAAUUAUGAUUACAGUGUGAUAAAUACUAUAAUCUGUGUACAUCAGACUGGGAUGUGGGGCAUAAAGGAAAGUCAGCUCUGCUUGGUGCAGCUCUCUGUAAGAGUUAGAUAUUUAUUCCAUUGUAAUUUUUUUAAUGUAUUCCUUACUCUUUUGUGACUGUAAUGAAAAAAAGUUAGUAGAAUAGUACUGAUGAUAUAUGAAGCAAAAUCUAACGUUUUCAAAAAUCCCGAACGGGAAGCGAUGUGGCCAAGCACUGGAUGUUACACUUUCCUCGUAUUACAUAUCCCCUAGUGCAUUUGGCAAAUUGGUUAUGCGGUCUGAACCUUUUUUGGAUCUGCAAAACUUGUUUACCUAAAGAUUGAAAAAUAGAUCUGACAAUGAGACUAAUUUGUCUAUGGCUGUCAUUUGACUCUCCCUCUUCCUCGUUACCCACAUCCCAUUAGUCUCUAUCUAGUAUUUUAUAUAACCAUCCCAAAACCUGAGACCACAAAUACCAACAUAUCUGGUUCUAUAAGAAUUGCGAUAGGAAGCACUACUAUAGAAGAACAAACUAACAUAAUAAGUUAAUGUAAGAGAUAUAUAGGGUAAUGAUACUUGGGUAAUGUGGAAGUUGGGUUGGUUCAUAGACUGUUUUUUAUAGUUAAGGACAUUUAAAAUUGUAGAAUUACAAACCUCAGCAGAAGGAAAAAAAAAAAAAAGACCUCAGCUGGGCUGGUAACAUUAGCCUUGUUAGCUGUAUUCUAGGAAAAUUAGAAACAAGAGCUCUCUCCCCAGAGAAGUGCCCCAGGCUGCAGCAGCUCAACUCCAAACAGGUUUCACUACCUCCUAUGCCCACUUAGAGGGAGGCUCCACAGGCUCUAAUCUCUGUGUUCUCUGGCCAUGCUUGAGUGUCUACCAGCCCUCUCCUAAUUAAAUUUUGUCAACACUUCUAUUCUAGUUCUUUGUUCAAUCUAAUAUUCCCUGUAGUGAAUUCCAAUCGCACUGAGCUGCCUGCCUUAACAGGCCAUUUUAAUACCCAGGUACCUGUGAUUUUUUUUUUUUUUUUUUUUUUUGGUGGUGGUUUUUAGUGCUCUGAAAUCUGAAACUCUGAGGACUGACAUGAUGCCACAGGUGGAAAUUUUCACAGUUGACCUCAUGUGAUGGGUCACAGCCAAAAUACAGUCAAAACUUUGUUUUAUCCACAAAAUUAUUUAAAAUCUUAUAUAAAAUUAUCUUCAGGCUAUAUAUAUGUAUAUGGAACAUAAGUGAAUUCCAUGUUUAGACUUGGGUGCCAUCCCCAAGGUAUCUCAUUAUGUAUAUGCAAAUAUUCCAAAAUCUGAAGAAAGCUGAAAUCAAACACUUCUGGUCCUAAGCAUUUUGGAUAAGAAAUACUCAAACCUGUAUGUGCAACCUCUUCCCUUUGUUCCCCCAGCCCUAGGAGUGGUAUCUGCUCCUGCAGUUGCUUUAUGUUUCCUUUUUGCCUUUUUAGCCACCUAACUAACAACUUUAUACCUAAUUAACAAUUCCUUAUGUUAUAUUUUCUGUUAAAUAAGUAGUGUGACUACUAUAUCCCGACAGGAUCUUAAUGGCUACAAUGGAUAGAGGCCAUGUCUCUUAUUAUCUUCACUUAUGUGAAGCAGUAUGCCUCCUAAGAUAGUCUAACACUCUCUUCCAGAGCUAUUAAUACAAAGAUCUUCCCAUGAUAGUCAAUUUUUGUUAAAGUUUCUCCAACCACACUGGAAGCAAGAAAAAAAUUAUUUUUUUAAAAAAGUUUGUUUUAACAAGGAGGCAAGUAAGACAUUCUUUUAUUCCCUUUUUUAUUUUUGGCAAAAUAUGCUUAUUGUAAAAAUUGUCGUUUGCUCUUUUUUAUGGUGUAAAUGAACUUUGUUAGACCUAUGACUGCAUGCAUUAUAUAUGGGUCAGAAAAGCCAGACUCUAGGUCUAAUUUUUCUAUUUGUUAGCUUGGUAAAUAAAAUGAAGAUGGUGGUGCUAGCAGCUUAAAAACUACACCCAAUGGGAAGUCUGGAUUAUUUAAUGAUUUACUACUGGAAAAUUAAAAAUAAAUUUAAAAGAAUGCUAGAAAGAUCACAAGUUCUAUAAAGAGAGAGAUCACUGGGAGCCUGGGAUUAUAUUCUCAAAUGAAAUUUUAACUUUCAGCUCUCUGGCAAGCCAAGGAAAUAAUCAUUGCUUUUAUGUACAAGUAAAGAAGUGACAUCAUCAAAAUUGCUGACUAGUGAUGCUUGAUACGCAUCCCUCCCACAAGGACCAAGGCAACAAAUAAACAGCUAAGAUUUUACUGGGAUGUUGAAGGGAGAGUGCUGAUGUGCAGCAAGGGAGUGGAGAUGCACCUGUGGUGAUUCACUGACAUCCAGGAGGGCGGUAUGGAGGUACCUGGUGUCUGCAACCAUCUCCCCUGCUCAGAUUGAAUCUGCCAGGAGUCAGGAGGAACUUCCCAUUUCAGGGGGAAAAGGUAGGCAAAAGAUCCCCACCAGUCGCCAUUGCCACCACAAACACUCACAGUUCUUAGGACAGGAGAAUCACAUGCUCCUUGCAAGCCCUGAGCCCAGUUUGGAGAACUGCCAGGAAUUCAUGCAGCUGCAUUGCCCCAGUUUAGGGGCAUGACGUGUAUACUUCCCACCCACCACUCACCCUCUGCAAGACAAGCUGGUGCAGCAUCGCAUCAUGAGAACAGAGCCAUCUCUGUAGUGCACCUUGUUCUGAUGGCCAGUAGCCACUGUUCCUCUCCAAUACUGGGGCUUCAUCUUAAUUUUACCAAGCCUACACAGGUGGCUGAAUGCCACAACUCCAUCUGCACAAAGCUCAGGCCCAGGGUAGGUUGUGAUUCAGGUCUUGCACAGCAAGGUAACCCACCCAUCCCUGCUGCCACACUUCCACCUGAAUGAACAGUCUGGCAGUCCCACCCAGGGUGAACUCAACCUUGAGCCAGCCAAACCACUGCAUGCCCCCCUCAAAGUAGGAGAGGCAUCCAAGCCUCUGAACAGCUAAUACAUACUUCAGGCUGGUGGCGCAGCUACACACUUCUGCUCAGGACCUGAAAAAUAGCCCUGUCCCUGUAGUGUCCUCCCACUCCCCAGCAGACAUGCCCCUAGCCUGCCCAAUGGCCCUGCACCUGCAAUCAAGAUCUGAGACACAGUCCCACAGUCUGGCUUCUGGUGGGCACAACCCUAGGCCAGCCAAGCAGCUUUGAGCCCAUGACCUGGACCUAAGAAACAGUCCCCAAAGGCUAUCCUGAGCUAGCUGAGCUGCCUAACACCUGUGUCCCAAAAUUGAGAAACACUCCGGUGGGUCCCCCUUCCCCAGAGCAGACACACCCUUAGGCCAUCUGAGCAGCCUUGCACCCAUGUCUCAGGCCUGAAAAACAGUACUGUGGGCUAUCCCUGGUAGAUAUACUACCAAGCCAGCUGACCAGCUGUGUGCCUACAUUCUGGACGUGAGAACAAUUCCACAAUGUACUCCUGGCAGGCAUGCCACAAGGCCAGCCAAGCAAAUGUGUGCCCAUGCUCCCAGCCACAGUAAUAACUCCAUGGCCUCAAUUCCAGUGAGCCAGACCCCAAGGUGACUGAACCACUAUGUGCACACACACUCCCCAAACCUAAGAAAUAGCCUGGAGAACCCACUCCCAGCAUAGGAACCCACUCCCAUUACCAUCAAAAUCUUAGCCUAGGACACUGAGACACUCAUAAAUGUUACUAGUGUGGAUUACAGCUGAAAAAAAAAAAAAGACUACAUGGAGACUACACUACAGUGUCCACCCAGAACCAAGGCCAACACUCCAAGACCCAUUCAUACAAAUAAGCUUUUCCCUAUGAAACCUACUUCAUAAAAUUGGAAGAGGCAAUUUUUCCACCAGAUAUGUAGAAAUCAAUGUAGGAACAUGUUGAACAUGAAAAAGAAAGGAAACAUGACACCUCCAAAGGAAAACAAUGUCUCCAGUAAUAGACCCCAAUCAUAAGGAAAUAUGUCAAAUGCCAAAAAUGAAUUCUAAAUAAUAGUAAGGAAACUCAGUGAGAUACAAGAGAACACAGAUAGACAAUUCAGUGAAAUCAGGAAAGUAAUUAUUUGAAUGAGAAAUCCAACAAAGACAGAUAUCAUUAAAAAAGAGCCAAACAGAAAUCCUAGAGCUGAAGAAUUCAAUGAAUGAAAUGACAAAAUACAAUCCAGAGCUUCAA
rnacentral:lncRNA from 1 species